UACGUAGGGGGCAAGCGUUGUCCGGAUUUAUUGGGCGUAAAGAGCGUGUAGGCGGCCAUACAGGUCAGCUGUGAAAACUCGAGGCUCAACCUCGAGACGUCGGUUGAAACCGUAUGGCUAGAGUCCGGAAGGGGAGAGUGGAAUUCCCGGUGUAGCGGUGAAAUGCGCAGAUAUCGGGAAGAACACCCGUGGCGAAGGCGGCUCUCUGGGACGGUACUGACGCUGAGACGCGAAAGCGUGGGAGACGAGAG
rnacentral:rRNA from 1 species